GACGAACGCUGGCGGCGUGCUUAACACAUGCAAGUCGAACGGGCCUGUCUUCUUUUUUGGGGGGUGGGUUGAGUGGCGAACGGGUGAGUAUCACGUGAGUAACCUGCCCUUCGGUCCUGGAUAACCGCUUGAAAGGGCGGCUAAUACGGGGUGGUCCGGUUGGUCCGCAUGGGCUGGUCGGGAUAGAUUCACUGUUUUUGGUGUUUCGGCGGGGGAUGGGCUCGCGGCCUAUCAGCUUGUUGGUGGGGUGAUGGCCUACCAAGGCGGUGACGGGUAGCCGGCCUGAGCGGGUGGGCGGCCACAUUGGGUCUGCGAUACGGCCCAGGCUCCUGCGGGAGGCAGCAGUGGGGGGUAUUGCACAAUGGGCGGAAGCCUGAUGCAGCGACGUCGCGUGAGGGAUGGAGGCCUUCGGGUUGUGAACCUCUGUUUCCGGUGGUGAAGGCCCUGUCCGUGUGGUGGGGUUGACGGUAGCCGGGGAUGAAGCGCCGGCUAACUACGUG
rnacentral:rRNA from 1 species